rnacentral:tRNA from 1 species
GCUUGGGUAGCUCAGUUGGUUAGAGCGUCCCGCUGAAGACGGGAAGGUCGCCAGUUCGAUUCUGGCCCCAAGCA